CCACUUUCAAAACAAGUAAUAAGGACUAGACCCAAAAAUCUAAUUACCAAUGCGCAAUGUAAAUCCACAUAAUGAAGGUUUGUUUCUUACCGGAAACACCAAUUUAGUUUAUGAAGAAAAAUCAACUUUUCACUAAAAAACUAGAAACAGCUUUAUCAAGACACAAUCAAGUACGGGCUGCGCGGCUCAAGGACGUUGCUGGGUGGGGCGGCGCCGGCGCGGCCUGCUGCUGGGCGGGCUAUGUCCGACGCGUCGGGGCUGCUGGGCGAACCUGCUCGUGUGCUGUGCGGCUAGAGGCGGAGGGAAUGUUCGGCGGUCCGAUCCGGUGAGAAGAAUGCUGCUGGGCGGCGGUCUGGUCCGGGCUGGGCAGUCCGACGCUAGGGUACAGGGUGACAGAGUGAGCGGCGGGUUUCACUUCAGAUUACAGAGUACAUAGCGGCACUAGGUUUAGAAAACUUAGAUUCU
rnacentral:lncRNA from 1 species